rnacentral:rRNA from 1 species
UACGAGGGCUUCGUAGCAGUGCCCGUCAUAACUAGGCUGUAAAGGGAGAAUAGGCAUGUUCUUUAGUUAGGCUCAAAAUAAGCGAUAUAAUUUGCCUAAAGUUUCUUUAGAACUAUGAGGAUUGUAGAUGAAAGCGGUAACCUCCAAAGGAGCAAUGUACAAGUUAUUAGAUUGCGAGGGACCACCGUGUGGCAAUUGCAGCUUUCAAUACUUUUUUUAUUAACCUUGACGCUGACGAUCUGAAAGUGUGGGGAGCAAACCGG